rnacentral:rRNA from 1 species
GACGAACGCUGGCGGCGUGCUUAACACAUGCAAGUCGAGCGGUAAGGCCCUUUCGGGGGUACGACGAGCGGCGAACGGGUGAGUAACACGUGGGUGACCUGCCCUCAGCUCUGGGAUAAGCCUGGGAAACUGGGUCUAAUACCGGAUAUGACUCCAUGACGCAUGUUGUGGGGUGGAAAGCCUUGUGCGGCUGAGGAUGGGCCCGCGGCCUAUCAGCUUGUUGGUGGGGUGANGGCCUACCAAGGCGACGACGGGUAGCCGGCCUGAGAGGGCGACCGGCCACACUGGGACUGAGACACGGCCCAGACUCCUACGGGAGGCAGCAGUGGGGAAUCUUGCGCAAUGGGCGAAAGCCUGACGCAGCGACGCCGCGUGAGGGAUGACAGCCUUCGGGUUGUAAACCUCUUUCAGCUCCGACGAAGCGAG